UUUUUGGUGGGGGGGGGGAGUAAAAUCAAGAGUUGGAACAGACUUUAGAAGGCAUUAAGUCCAACGGCAUCUGCAUGUACUCAUAAAAAACAGGUUUAAAGAGUUUUCUUGGAAAGAAAAAAAAGUUUUCUUGGAUUUUGUGACAAUUUUCUCUUGAGUUUAGCUCAAGUCUUGAUGUCUGAGCCCCUAGCUCUGUGCUCUUUCGUGAUGCAGUACUGCCUUCUUUGUAUGUAUAAUUUCUAAACUGAUGCAGGUUGGAAGGUCUGCUAAAUGCUAAACAGCACCCUCCGGUUGAAUUAAUUAAGUAAUUAUUUUAGUUUGGGAGGCAUCUGUGUGAUAGAGAUUUGGUUCUAUGAUUUGACUUCUGUCUCAGCAGCUUGGCCUUGUGGCCUUGGGGAAGGUGACUAACACUCUUUGAGCUCUAGUUUCUUUGUAUGCACAGUGAGAAGAAGAAUAUUCACCUUUGAGAAGUCGGGAAGUUAUAGAAUUGCAAUGUUUAUUCCUAAUACACAGCAAUUAACUACAACUGUUAUUGUCAUUGGUGUUUCUUGAGUAUUUCUGAGAUUUUCUUUGAAAGCCCAACAUUUAAAAGAGAGGAGGAUUCAACCAUAUUUUAAUAAAAGUAAUUUCAAAAAAUAAAAGAGAGGAAGAAAGAAGGAAGGGAAGAAAGAAAAGACACAGAACCAGAUCUCUACAUGUCAUUUUAGAUUGCUCUUUGCCUUUUCUUUAGAGUUGGAUUCCUGAUUAGAUAAUAACACCUACUCCUUCCUUAUCUAAUUUGAUGGUUAAGAGACAAAAAUUGAUAUCAUAGAAGAAGCACUAUGUAAGUUAAUAUGUUAUCAUUGUAUUAUAAUUAUUUCAGGAAUCUUGAAUAAUCUACUUUUUAAAUGAAGGAAAAUCUAUAACACAACUGUCAGGGCAUUUGGUGAGGGAAAUAAUAUAUAGUAUUUGAUGGUUCAGAAAGUUAGUUUUGUCUCCGUCAUCAAUAUUUUUGUGUGGAAAGCAAAAAGAUCAGUAAGGUAGUCAAACCUCCGAGAAGUGUUUUCAAGAGAAUUUUGUCCAUCUAGGUAAAACUCCGCUGGUAAAUAUUUCUUUCUGCUCUUAAACUUUAGGCCUCUUACAAGCGCUCUGUAAUUGCACAAAUGGUACUGCUGAUUCAAACGAAAGUAUGGGAAUUCUGCGGAAAGAAAUAUCUAGCUCUGGGAAAAAAAUUUCGAAGUGCCCAUUACCAUGAUAAAUCAGGUAAUUUUUGAGUGGUGACUGCAACAUCGCUCUGCAGGUGGGGGUGAUCCAUAAAAGAGCUGCUUUCACCUUUAAAGACCUAAUUAUCCUAACAAGUAGCUUCAUUAUUGACACCAGCAAGACUUGUUCACAUCUGCAUUCUGCCUUGAACUUGUAAGUAUUGACAUUCUUACAAGUGGGGUGCAGUGAGUUUUCAUCCAGAGAUAUCUUUUCCUAAUAGAGUGGGGAAUUAUUUUGUAACUGGAAAUUCUUCCAAUUGGGAAUCACCCUUCCCCCAUUACCACCCCUCCUCCACUACCACCAAUUUGAAGAAACUUUUAUUCUGGCAAUUAAACUAAUAAACUAAUCAAUAAUAAGAUUACUCUCUGCAGCAGCAGACAGCUUCUAAGGCAGGCUGAUGGAAAUACUUAGGGAUAAAUUUAACAAAACGUGUGAAAUACCUACAUUGAAAUCUAGGAAAGAUUGUCAAGAGAAAUUUUAUUUAUUUAUUUAUUUAUUUAUUUAUUUAUUUAUUUAUUUAUUGUCUUUUUAGGGCUACACCCACAGCAUAUGGAGGUUCCCAGGCUCGGGGUUGAGUCAGAGCUGUAGCCGCUGGCCUACACCACUGCCACACCAACUCGGGAUCUGAGCUACAGCUGUGAUCUACACCACAGCUCAAGGCAACACCAGAUUCUUAACUCACUGAGUGAGGCAGGAUCAAACUUGUGUCCUCAUGGAGGCUAGUUGGGUUCGCUAACCUCUCAGCCAUGAUGGGAACUCCGUUAAGAGAAAUUUUAAAAGUCAAUAAAAAGGAAAGAUAUUCUGGAACUAGAAAACUCACAUUGUUAAGAUGUCAAUUCUCUCCAAAUUGAUCUAUAGAUUCAACGUAAGUCCCAGGACUUCACUGUAGAAAUUGGCAAACUGAUCCUAAUGGAUAUAUGAAAAUAUAAAGGACCUAGAAUUGCCAAAAUAAUUUUUAAAAAGAAAUAUAAAUUUGGAGGACUUCCAUUUCCUGAUUUUAAAGCCUUAUUCAGAGCUAAAUAAUCAAGACUAUGGUCUUGGUGUAAGGAAAAGCAAAUAAUAGAUCAAUGGAAUGGAAGGGAGAGUUCAGAAAUAGACCACCAUUUAUACAGUCAAUUGAUCUCUGACAAGGUGCCAAGGUAAUUUGAUGAGGAAAUAAUAGUACUAUCGAUAGAUAGUGCUGGGACACCUGGAUAUUGAAAUAGAAAAGACAAAAAAAAAAAAAGAAACAUUGAACAGUACUCAUACUGUGCACAAAAACAAAUUCAAAGUGGAUCAUAGACCUAAAGUCUGAACAUUUGAAACUUUGGAGUUCCUUUCAUGGCUCAGUGGAAACAAACCUGACUGGUAUCCUUGAGGAUGAGGAUUUGAUCUCUGGCCCAUCUCAGUGGGCUAAGGAUCCUGCGUUGCCCUGAGCUGUGGUGUAGGUCACAGACACAGCUCAGAUCCAGCCUUGCUGUGGCUGUGGAGCAGGCCAGCGGCUAUAGCUCUGAUUCAACCUCCAGCCUGGGAAACUCCAUAUGCCAUCGGGUGCAGCCCUAAAAAAAAAAAAAUAAAUAAAUAAAUAAACAUUUGACACUUCUGGAAGAAAACAUAGACAUUUUUUAAGAUUUGUGGGUAGGCAAAGAUUUUGUAGCUAGACCAUAACCAUAUCCAUAAAAAUCGAUACAUUUUUACUACUAAGAAACUGAAAUUAGGAGGUUCCUUUUUCUCCACACCCUCUCCAGCACUUACUGUUUGUAGACUUUUGGAUGAUGGCCAUUCUAGCUGGUGUAAGGUGGUACCUCAGAGUGGUUUUGAUGUGCAUUUCUCUAGUAAUGAGUGAUGUCAAACAUCUUUUCAAGUGUUUCCCGGCCAUCUGUAUGUCUUCUUUGGAGAACUGUCUGUUUUGAUCUUCUGCCC
rnacentral:lncRNA from 1 species